rnacentral:lncRNA from 1 species
AUGCAGGCAGAAUUUGCAGCGAAACUGGAACAAGCUAAAGCUUUACAAGAAAUUCACAAUCAAGAAGCUAAGCUUGAUAAGAUGGAGCAUGACUGGAAGCUUUGUGAAUCGAGAAUGUUAGCGGAGAUAAAGCAGAAGGAGGCUGAAAUGCAGUUAAGGCUAGUUGAGGAAAAGAAACGGCUACAACAGCUACAAGUUGACAAAGAAGUUAAAGUAGCAGCAGCUCGUGUCAAAGUGUAUAACGAUUUGGAAUGCAACCUUCAUCGCUGUGAAGAUGACGAAGGCCCUAGCAUUCAAACUGGCUGCCAAAGGACAGAGCUUACAUCUCAACUGAACCCGGAAGCACAGUCGUUCCUACCUCAGCAAGCAUCAUGUGAAGGAUAUGGAGUUACAUCACCUCAGGAAACUGCAAAUCUAGCUCAAGCAAUAGCAAACUCACUAAGCACACAUCGGCUGCCUGUUCCAGAACCCACUGUCUUUGUUGGUGACCCUUUAAAAUUAAUAGAUUGGAAGAUGUCAUUCAUGGCCCUCAUUGAUCGAAAACCUCUUCCUUCUGGUGAAAAAAUUUUCUAUCUGAAGAAUUACCUUGCUGGGGAAGCUCGCAAAGCGGUAGAGGGAUAUUUCUACAGAAAUUCUGAGGAUGCGUAUCAAGGUGCCUGGAAAGUGUUACAGGAAAGGUACGGGAACUCGUUCGUCAUCCAAAGAGCGUUUCGAGACAAGCUGAUGAGAUGGCCCAAAAUUGGAGCAAAUGACCCACUGGCAUUACGAGACUUCACAGAUUUCCUACAAGGUUGUGUCGAGGCAAUUCCUCACGUAAAAGGAUUAGCCAUCCUAAAUGAUUCUGAAGAAAACCACAAGCUGUUAAAGAAACUCCCCGAAUGGAUUGUGAGAAAGUGGAACGGAAUCGUGGUGGAAGAGCUAGACACAUCAGGUGACUAUCCAAGUUUCAAAUGCUUCACAGAAUUUCGGCAAAAGGAAGCAAAAAUAGCUUGUAACCCUAUAACCUCUGCACUAUUUGUGAAUCAAAAGAACACAGAUGAAAGGUUCCCCAAGCGUGCUAAGGCUCUCAGUACAAAGGUUCAGGUGAAGGACUUGAGCUCAAAAAGACCAGAGACGUACAGAUCUAAGCCAAAGACAUCGUGCCUUUUCUGCAAAGAUGAAAAACAUCACAUUGCUCAAUGCUCUACAUUUGCUGGAAAGACUAUUGAAGAAAAGAAAGCCUUCAUUCACGAAACCCACCUCUGUUUCGGAUGUCUCAGAAAGGGACACAUGAGUAAAGACUGUAGAAGAAGACAUACAUGUGGUACGUGUGGUCGAAGUCAUCCUACCUGCUUACAUGAAGAAAGGGAUAAAGCUCCUUCAAAGGACCCUAAAGGAGCAUCUACGAAUGUUCAAGCAAGUGAGGAAGUUCAUAAAGUCAUGACCCAUGCACUCACUCAAUGUUCUCCUGCUACUUCCAGCAUUGUGCCAGUUUUCAUCUCUACAGUGGACGAACCCCAAAGAGAAGUACUAACUUAUGCUCUACUUGACACCCAGAGCGACUCAAGUUUCAUCUUGGAAGAUCUUCUUGAAAGUUUGAAUGUUGUCUCACAACCUGUGCAAUUGAGGCUCAACACCAUGACAGCUGCUGACACGAUCACUGCCAGUAAGAGAGUCUGUGGACUUAAAGUAAGAGGACUACAAUCUGCAAGUUCUAUUCCACUACAGCAAGCAUACACAAGAGACUUCAUUCCAGUAGACAAGUCGUAUAUUCCCACCAAGCACACAGCGCUUCAGUGGAGUCAACUCAGACACUUAGCAAGUCAGCUGUCACCACUUUUGAACUGUGAAGUCGGACUUUUAAUUGGAUUUGACUGCCCAUCUGCUCUAGCUCCCUUGGAAGCAAUUAUAGGUGGUGAAAAUGAGCCUUUCGCGCAAAGAACUGUGCUUGGGUGGAGUAUUAUAGGCCUGUCUAAUCCACACCUUGACCGACAAGGAAAUCAGAGUUUUGUCCACCGUGUUGCAGUAAAGGAAAUACCUGUCCCAUCGGCCAAUGAUAUCCUGAAAAUUCUUGAGUCAGAUUUCAAUGAAAAAGCUUAUGAGGAUAAAUGUGUGUCACAAGAGGAUGUUCGUUUCAUACAGCACCUCAGUGCCAAUAUUCAUCAGAAGGAUAAUGGACAUUACGAGCUUCCUCUCCCAUUUAAGUGCAGCAGCCGACCCUCACUACCCAACAACAAAGGGCUAGCAACUGCUCGACUACAACACCUAAAGAAACGGCUCAAGUCCAAUAAACAGUAUUAUGAUCACUACAAGGCUUUCAUGGAAGAAAUGAUUAUCAAAGGUGAUGCAGAACAAGCUCCAGCUAUACUAAGUGGAGAGACAGUGUGGUACAUCCCACACCAUGGGGUGUACCACCCUCAGAAACCAAACAAGCUGAGGGUGGUAUUCGAUCGUUCAGCAAAGUUUCGUGGUAUAUCAUUAAAUGACACACUUCUGACUGGGCCUGAUCUAACCAAUUCCUUGGUGGGAGUGCUGUGCCGUUUCAGAAAGGAGCCAGUUGCAGUUACCUGUGACAUAGAGAAGAUGUUUCACCAGUUUCUCGUCCCACCUGAUGAACGCAAUUACCUGAGAUUCUUAUGGUGGGAGGGUAGAGACUUGGAGAAAGAGCCUCAAGAAUAUCGCAUGGCAGUCCACCUCUUUGGUGCCACGUCUUCACCUGGGUGUGCUAAUUUCGGCCUAAAGUACCUGGCACAGCAGCACAAGGUUAACUAUCCUUCAGCCUCAGCAUUCAUUGAGAAGAACUUUUAUGUGGACGAUGGGUUAACCAGUGUUCCCUCAACCAGUGAAGCCAAAGAACUAAUAAUGCAAGCUCAAAGAGUGUGUAAACAUGGAGGUUUACGGCUUCACAAAUUUAAAUUUUAUUUAAUUUAA